rnacentral:sRNA from 1 species
UUUUUUACCUUACAAAUACACGAUGUGGAAUGUAAGAUAGUUAGCUCCCAAAAACAAUCACAAAAGGACUAGAUUUUAACCUGCGGUACACCGCGAGAACAAUUUAUUUUUUAAAGUUAGAAUAUAUAAAAGUUUGCAAAUUGUAUCUAUCUAUAAAAUAUUUUAUUUUAUAGUUUACAAUUGUUAUUAAGUAACGUCCUGCCAAACCCGUCCCGCCAACCCGUACCGUAAAAAAAACUAUUUAUUUUAUUAAUGUUGAUCUUAUUUAUGAUAUGUUUAUGAAUUAUUGUCUAAAUAUUUUGUAAUUUUGUAGUAAUUAAAUGCUAUCAAAUAUCUCUGCGGUUUGAUGAUUAUAAUCGAAUUGUUAUAGUCAUGGAGAAAAACAAUAUCAAAAAUGAUAAUUUUGUAGUAAUUAAAUGAUAUUAAAUAUUUUGGAAGUUUUAUUUUAGUAACUAAUCGUCUAGUUAAUGUGGAGAGAUUUAGGGAAGAUUGUUAAAUAUUAAAUAUUUAAUUCGAAUAUU